AACAGGCCGCGGCGAUUUGAAAUAUAAUCCCAUUACGCUGACGAGAUUACCGGGCCUCGAGACUUCACAAAUCACUCCCAGGGCUUUUAUCCAGAACACCGCCCUGGUGGGACCGUGCAUUUAAGCAGAGGUGUUUGAUCAGGAAACUGAGGACCCAAGAGGCGGUGACCAGCUCAGAGCCACGUGGCCACCAACUGUGGAGGGCAGAGCCCAGGGUGGGUAGGAAUGGAAGACAUUAGAAAAGGGUGCUCCUGUUGGCUGAACAAAGAUCAGAAUGAAAGAGGAAUUCAUUAAAAUG